rnacentral:lncRNA from 1 species
GCUUCACAGGAGGCCCUGUUUUGAGAGGUGCAUGAACAUGUGGCUCACGUUCAACAACAAACACUCAGGAGAGGGGACAGAAUGUUCAGGACACACCGAAUUUCCAAGACGUACAGAUCUCUCCAAGCAUCCCAAAAGGCGUAUGUUCCUGGUGGGGCCGAGGGCCUGCUCUUGGAGACAGAUGGCGAGCAGCGGUCAGCAGCUACUGAGAGCUCAACUUCCCCUCUAGAGACAGGCUCUGCCGCUCAAGUCCACCUGGGUCUUGGCUCUCUGAAUCCUGUCCGAGGGUGGCGAACUUGAGGC